UGCGUCUUCACUAAAACCCAGGUUUGAGUUACUGGGACACUUUGUUAGGACUGACUAGCCUUCCAGUUUUGUUAAUGAAAAACAAAUCUCUGACAGAAAUGUCUGAACUGCUUUUCCACGGCACUAUUUUUCUCUGGCGCAUUACUGGAUUCUAACGAAUCUAACAGGACUCAGAAACCGUGUAAAGAUUUGCAAGAAGUAAAAUGAGGCUGGCAGGUCAGCAGUAUGUUUAAAGUGAUAGAAGACACAAGACUGCUGAAAGGCUGUGGAGGGCACGAGUCCUGCUAGCUCAUACAUUCCCAAAACAGAAAUGCAUCUCUCACAUCCAGCCGGCUAACUGUGAGGUGACUGAACUGAGUAAGAAUACAGGAUAUCACCAGGACCCGCAGAUAUGUCAAG